CGGCCAUUUUCCUGGAGAGGAACCAGCGCCUCAGAGUGUAGGGGAGAUCUAACGCAGUCUAACGUCUUAUUUGAAUCGUCUCUAACGGACGGCGCUCCUUACACCGGAUACGUGGAUUAUGGAAGCGGAUCUUUGAAGGGGACAAUAUUGAUUAAUUUUAUUACGUUAUAAAAUUGAAAGUGUAGCGGUUUGAGAGGGGUGUGGCUUCGUUGCGCAGCAACGGGACCAGGGGGCGGAGUCCUGGGCGUGGCCGACGAGAACUCCCAAAGUGGGCUGAGCUAGCUGUACUAAGGUGUCAACAAGAGGAAAGUGGAUUGUGAUUGGUCGGAGGCGAGACACGUGAUAUCUGUGGGCAUGGUUCAGCAGUUUCCCUAUUUGAAUCUGGCAAGAAAUAACUAGAAAAUAAAGGAAUGACAGUUGGAAGCUUGCAAGACGUGUUCAAGCUGAAGGGAAUUAAAAAUUAUACAAUGAGUUGGAAUGUUACAAUAGAAUGCCUGUGACAAAAAAAAACCCAUAGGAUGAAGGGCGGAUAGGGAAUGUCUCAUGGAAUGAUUUAUCCUGGAUUACAUAAUUCAUGAUUCCUUACUCUACGUACUGCAUUUCAUAGCCAGUGACGUGUAUAUACGUCACGCCUGUCGCCAGGUGAUCCAGCAGCCCACAGGAGGGAGAGAGCGGGGACAGUCUCGCGAUAGGUAGCCAUAGCAACAGAACGCAGACCCAGCUUUGCAAGGGAACCGUCGCUGCUGCAAGGAGGAGGAGGAGGCCUGCUGGAUGUAAGCGGGGUGCGGGUCAUGUAUUCAGUAGUUGAGGGGCUCUGACCUGGACCCCCACAUUGUCUGGGCUUCAGGCUCAAUAUGUUCAGGCUGUGGGACAUGUAUGUGUGAGUGAUAUAGCUCAGUGUGUGCAUGGACUGGUCAUGUUUUAUUUUGUUCCAGAUUUAAGGUAAAUCAGUGGGGUUGAUGCUCCAAUGUGGGCUUUUUUUUUUUCUCUUCCCAUGGAUUGUAUUGUGGUUACAGUGUCUGGAACUGGAGACUGAGAAGAGCUGUGAAAGGCUGGACCAUGCUAAGGAAUGUGCAUUUUGAACACAUUUCAACACACAAUGUUUGUUUUAGAAUAGUGGAUUUGACCCAAAACGAGAUUUUUCAUUUGUUGGAAUAGACGUGUGAGGGUCCAGGCAGCUGCAUUUUCACUGUAUGGGUUAGUGGGUUCCCCCAGAGCAAUGCUCACUCAAUAUGUUUUAUUUGGAUUGAAAAACCGGUCACUGAACUAAUGUUAGAAUGUGUAUAGAUAAAUAACUUUUGAUCUGUACAUUUGGUUGCGUUUAGGCUGGCACAAUGUAAAGAUGAAAUGUUUCUCAUGAUAGGAGCACUGAUUUAGAACUUAUCUAUGAUAUUUGCUGAAGUCACUUAUUGUGCUUUUUUUGAUCCGUGUUUUAACCCCUUAAGGACGGAGUCAAUUGUACACAAAACCUGGAAUUUGCGCUGUAUGUUUGUUCAACCAUAAUUUUCCUCUUUCAUAUUACGUGCACCCACACGUAUUAUACAUCAUUUUGUUCAGGAAAAAUCGGGCUUUCAUUUCCUAUCAAAUAUUUAUAUUUAAAAACUUAACUUAAUAUGAAACAUUUUUUUAAAAAUUUGAGAAAUUGACAUUUUGUUAUUUUUCAAGUUCUGCAUGGCAUAUUAAUUGUAAAUGUCACAAUACUGUUAGAUUUUGCUGCAAUAAAAUACACAUAUUUGUGUUCAUCGAUGUCUUACGAGUACCAAAGUAUCCACCAUGUACAGGUUUUAUGGGGAAUUUGAAAAGUUACUGGGUCAAAUAUAGGGCUUUCUCCUUUUUCAUUUUUACACAUUGAAAUUUGCCAGAUUGGUUUGCUGGGCCUAUGCUGCCUUUGAGACUGUAUGGCAGCCCAUCAUAGCAUACCAUUUGCAAAACUAGACAAUCCAGGGUAUUCAAAUUGGAUAUGACCAGUCUUUUUUAGUAGCCACUUAGGGCAUAUGCAAAUUAAUUCAACAAAGAAUCACAUUUUUGCCUCAUUCCAUUUUAAUCAUGGAUUCCUUUGAGUCUGUGUUUACUGUAUACAACAGCUUUGAAACACAACUUGGGAAAAGAUGCAAAGUCAGUAAACCACUCUUGGACAGCGAUUUCAUUGUUAAAGCAAAUCAUCAGCAUGAGGUCGGUUACUGGCUUGCUAUUGAGGCUUGGCAGUAGGUGAGACCCAGAAUCCUUUGCGGUAGGAACAUUUGUGAUUUCUGUUGCCUGGUGUGCAGAUUUUAUACAUGCAUACCUUACCACCCUCCCAGCGCUGGUCGCUGAUGUGUAGCUCUCCUGUCAUGAUCUUGAGCAGGUCAGAGAGGAGACUUUUAUGCCAGGGUUGACUUCAGGUACUUUAUUUGUGCUCUUAGACAUAGUAUGUAUAUCAUAGUAUCAUAUUAAUGUAUCAGUUGCCUUUUGGAAAUAGGGCUUUAUGAAUGAGCAUCUGUAUUAAUUGCCUUAAUCUAUUGCAUAUGGCUGACAAUUGGGUGUGCCCACCAUUCUUUUGUUAACUUAGACAUAGUAUGAACAGGAUAUCCUAUAAUAGAAAUUAUCGGAAAGAGUGAAAACUGAAAUAAACUGGCUUAGGCAAUAUGCCCUAAAUAGAUUAUAAACAGGAAUGAAAGUAAAUAAUAAGAAAACCUAUAGAUAGCCCAGACCACUUAAUUGAGAUGAAGUGGUCUGGGUGCCUAUAGUGUUCCUUUAAUGUGGUCACAAUGCCAGAACCCUGCACAAACUCAUUUUAAAACUUUGUUAGUUUCUCGGGUCACUCAGGACACUAAAACAAAGCAUGAGUUAUUGGCAAGAGCCUUCAGAUAGUGAGAGAAAUAGGCUUUGGCAAUGACAAGGAGACACUUAAAAAGAUUCAAACCUGGAAAGUGGCUUUAAAAAUUGGAUAUGACCAGUCUCUUUUAGUAACAUAAUACACUGGUUAAAUGGUGUAUUAAACAAAAUACAGUACUAGGGCAUAUAGACUGGUAGGAAUGAAGGAAGGAAGUAUAUUUAUGGGCAAAUAAGGGUGAAAAGCCUAGUAAAUCAUAUUGAGGAAAAGACUAGGAAGAGAAAGCUUUCAAAAGGGGAAAUAAAAGAAAGACACUAGAGAAGACUGGUGAUAAUAAGGAAGACUGAUUGAAUUAAAGGAUUUAUAUAUAUAUAUAUAUAUAUAUAUAUAUAUAUAUAUAUAUAUAUAUAUAUAUAUAUAUAUAUAUAAUAAUCCCAAUGUUAUUGUAGUCUCUAAUUUAAGAAACUUGUAAAGUAUUUUUUAAAACCAAUGUCACAUUAAUGGAAUCAACCUUGGAAACCAUGUACCAUAUGUUUUCGUGUAUAAAACGCCCCAUGCAUAAGACGACCCCUGUUUUUUGAGCCCAAAAUUAAGAACUAUAUAUGUAACGGAUCCCAGUACUCCAGCUGAGUACAUCCGUAAAGAAUCUCCCAAGCGCCAUAGUGAUUAUAAGUGUGAAUAUAGCUUCCAAUCCCCCAAACAUGAGCCUAGACUUCAUGAAGGGGUAAGAUGAUCUGUUUAAUUCAGGUUCAAUGGCCUGCUUUUAUGCAGUACAAGGACACAGAAAACACACCCAUGACACUCCCACACAAACCAGGGUAAUCCCUCCCCUGUGCCUCGGAGAUAAUUGAGUCAGGAACUGUACAAACUCCAUUAUCUCCAGGCACAGAAAAACAUACAAUUUACAAACACCGCAAAAGUACCUUCAAAACACAUGAAAACCCCACAAAAGUUACAUUCCCUGAUCGUCCUGAUAUGAGUGACCAACAUAUCCGAAAUUUCACCCAGAUUGGUUCAGGGGUUUGAAAUUUCCAUGGAAGUCAAUUAUUUGACCAACCGCCCAAAACAGUUCCAUGAAUUCAGGGCUAGCAGUCGGUCGACUUUGGUAACAUAAAAACGAAGUUUAAAUGGAUUCCCGAACUGAGGAAGAGAAUGGUUCCUGGGAAGGCAAAAUAGGGGUUUUAUCACAAUUAUAUUUUAAACAAAUAGAACAACUUUAAUAUUUUAGACGUGACUGUUGAGGAGAACAACACACUUCUGAUUCUCAUGCCUCCCCUGAGCUACAGUACUCUGUAAAGUUAAUGGCUCCAUAGUACAUGCUGGGAGACUACAGCUCCCACAAUACAGCAGGUGGUGUGAGGGCAUGCUGGGACAUUACAGCAGUAUUCCUUCUGCUCCCUGAUACUCAUUUCCAUAUAUAUAUAUCUCAGAAAGCAAGACCUACCUGAUGUGGAGCAUACUUAAUAUGGCUACUCCUUUUAUGGGGCUCUGUUGGUGGUAAGUGCUGAUGUCUGCUGCAGCUGCCAUACAUAUAGGGACCUCUUCCUCCUUGCCACAGCAUUCAGAAGUGGAUUGGCAGGAGGGAGGCCAGGUAUGUGUGUGGGCCGUGGCACACUGAAAUGUGGCAGGCGCCAUCUUGGCUUAGGCCCAGCGCACAUUUUUUUUUUGAAAAAUACAGUAAUUAAAUCAUCUGAUUAGUGUGUUUGUAUAAUAUAUCUAUAAAAAGGUGUGUGUGUGUGUGUGUGUGUGUGUGUGUGUAUAUAUAUAUAUAUAUAUAUAUAUAUAUAUAUAUAUAUAUAUAUAUAUAUAUAUUUUACUUACCUUUUCACCCUCCCAACGUUGGUCUCUGAUGUGUAACUCUGGCCAUCUGAUUGGUGCAGAGCAGCAUUUUGUUGUGCAUGCGCAGUAGACUCCUGGUGCUGUCCUCUGGGAAAGCAUUGGAUUGGCUAAAAUCAUUAGUACUGAUGAUUGCAGCCAAAGAGGCAGAGCUACACAUCAGAGACCAGCGCUAGGCGGGUGAAAAGGUAAGUAAAGCUACCUUUUUAACCCUGGCAACUAAACGGCCACUGAGGCUGCCUUGAGCUUCUUUCGUAAAGUUUAGUCAAGCAGGCACAUCUAACACAUAUAUUUCAUCCAAAAUAUAGUGAUUUAAUCGUAUACAAAAUCACUAAACUACAGUUACUGUUUCUACAUUUAGCAAACCAGACUCCUCCUACAAACAAUGAAGGGUCAAAAAUAUAGCAGAUACCUAAAAGUACUGUAUGAACAUUAACUCCAUCCUCACCAAAUUAACUUAAGGAAGAAAACCUAAAAUAAAAUAAAUGCUGUCAUAACAGAAGAAUAAAUCUCUAGCACUACGAAUGAAAUACAUAUGACAUAAGUUAUAUGAUACAAUAUACCAACAGUAUGAAAAUUGUAGAACUAGUAAUCUAAUAUCCCCAACAUGUGUAAACACAAAUUCAUUCAAAAUAGAAGCUAACAUCCCAUUCUUGAUUUUUUUUUCCUAAUGUUCUCGUACCCAAAGUAAAUUACCAAUAAAUUCUGUUUUACAUAGGAAAUGUGAUCUUUCCUCUCUAACUGGCAGUUUAACCCUCUUAGAGUGUGUGUGUGUAUCUAUCACAAGUGAUCCAGCAUGUAUACAGAUGUACCUAAAAUGUAUACUGAAAUAUAUAAAAUACAAUAAAUAAUAAAACAAUGUAUAAACUAUGAUAUAUAAAAAAAAAAAAAAAAUAGUAGAUGAUCGUCCAAAAUUCGUGAUGAGGAGUCCCACGUAAAAUAAAGGAAGAUUAUUUGAGGUGUGGAGUAAGGUCAAGGCCCCUUUUUUCACUUUUAUCUACUUGAAGAAGCCCCUGUGGCGAAACGCAUCUAGAUAUUAGAUAUUAUUUUAUUACGUUACAAUAAAGAAUUUUUGGCAUUAAACACUUUAUUGCCAUUUUUCUUUUCUUUUCUUUUCUUUCACCUGACUACCUAUAUUGCCUAUUUUCAGAAGAAGCUUAAAGAAUCCAUAGGUGGGGAUUAUACCACCUAAGCGCUUAUAGUGAGCAGUAUAUACCUGCUCAAAAGAAUAGAAUCGUCAUCUGAAAUCUACUCCAUAUAUCCUUGAGUGGGGAUUAUUCCACUUCACGUGCUUAAUAUCAGAGCUGGAUCCUCAGCUCUGAAAAUUGUGAGUAAGACCUACAGUAUAUACUCGAGUAUAAGUCUAGUUUUUCAGCACAUUUUUUGUGCUUAAAAACCCCCACUCGACUUAUACUCGAGUCACUGUCAGUAUUAUGGAAACUUAGAGAGCCGCGGCCGUCAGAACCAUGGCAACGAUCCGCGCGGCAACCAGACUGCAAGACUUACAGUGGAGCUGACCGGAAUGGAGGAGAAGGGAGCUGACAGGAGCUGCAGGAAAGGUAAGUAAAUGCUUCCUGCCAGCCCCCCCACUUCACAGCCCAUGCCACUGGACCACCAGGGAUUAAGAUAGCCCUCCUCCCUGACCAGUUAACAAGCAGGGAGGGGGGGACAAAAAAAAAUUUAAAAUAAUAAAAAAAUAAUAUUAAAAAAAAAUUAAAAUAAUAAAAAUGCCCUCCCCCCCACCCGGUUCACACACACUACACAAACACACACUCUGCAUUAUAUACACAGAGUGUGUGUAUAUAAUGCAGAGUGUGUGUUUGUAUGAGUGUGUGUGUGUGUAUAUAAUGCAGAGUGUGUGUUUGUAUAAGUGUGUGUGUGUGUAUAUAUAAUGCAGAGUGUGUGUUUGUAUGAGUGUGUGUAUAUAUAAUUAUAAAAAUCACAGAAUUUCAUAGUCCCAAGUUUUACCCUCGACUUAUCCACGAGGCAUAGCAUAUUUCCCAAUUGUUGGUCACAAAACUGCACUCGACUUAUACAUGAGAUCGACUUAUACACGAGUAUAUACGGUAUUUUAUUAUUUCAUUUUCAACGCAUCUACAUACUGUACCAUUGGAGUCCUGUCUCUUCUUCUCUCCACAUAUGCUCCAUUGAAUCCUAAGCAUACAAUUAUGAAGAUUUGACCUUGCUCCACACCUCAAAGAAGCUUCCUUUAUUUUACGUGGGACUCCUCAUCACGAACUUUGAUAAGUUUUGGACGAUCGUCUACUAUUUUUUUUAAUUUUUUUUUUUUUUAUAUAUCAUAUUUUAUACAUUGUUUUAUUAUUUAUUGUAUUUUAUAUAUUUCAGUAUACAUUUUAGGCGCAUCCUUAUUGUACUGUUUGUUUUGUGUUCUUCCAAUCACUAGGGAAUUACAGGGGAUUCCCUUUUGAGGAGUGCAGCCUUCAUUUAUUGUGUCCAUUUAGCGCUGAUUUUUUUAUGUUUUCUCUAAUGUAUACAGAUGUGCCCAUUUUUCUUCAGCUGCCUUAAUUCAGCUGUUUAUAGAAUCUUGUUUUGUGAAAAUCAUUCUUCAAAUAACAACAAUGUUAAUUCUGUUAUAUUAGCACAUAUUUUCUGCUGCAGCUAAAUUGCAUAUACGUUUUGCUAUUUGCAUUCAAUUUGCAACUAAAUCCCCAUAUUAAUCUGAACCUAUACUUUUUGAUUUAAAUUUUUUUUACAUUCUUUAUUUGUAAUAUUUUUUUCAAAACAAAUAUCAAGAUAAACAGGAAAUAACGAUUAUUAGCAUUAUUAAGUCAUUGAAUAAGUAAUUUGUUUUAUUUUUUUAUUACUAGUUAGUUUUAGUUCACCUGGUAAAAGCAUGCAAAUACCCUUCCGAAAAACAUCUUCACAAUUCACUGCUUGAUAUAUGUGUCAACAAUAAUCAAAUUUUUUUUCAUAUCUGUGUUUUAGCAGGCACUAAAUAGUUUUUCUAACAUUGUAUAUUUGUGUUUAAAUAUCAGAGCGUGCCAGGAGAAUUAAUAAUUAAUACACCAGUUUCAGUUUUGUGUCAAAUAUAUGAUUUUUCCCAAAUUGUGCAAUUCAGCAGUGCAUUUGGAGCUUGGUGAAUUACCCCAGCCUUACAUGCUUAAUCUUAUCUGCGUUCUAGUUAAUUAUGCUAGUACCAUUUAGUGUACACUGUAAAGAAGCACACAUCUACAUUAUACAUGAUAAAAAUCUUAUAAGGCUGCACAAGAACACCUUUCACAGUUGAAAAAUACAGAGAAUCAGUUAUGCAAUAUGACCAUCUCCUGCCUAGAUCAUAGCCACAGCUAACUUCCCGGGUUCUGCUGUAAUCCAUGGGUAGAUUCAUCUUCUAAACUGUAUUACUUACAUUUGGGCUCAAGACUCUUCUUCUUUAAUUUAUAUUUCCCUUUGGACACUUAAUGGGGCAUCUGUGUGCAGCAGAUGGAGGCUUAACCCAGAAGCCUGGUCAAGGCUCGAUAUACAAACAAUACAGGGAAGAAAAGCACUAACCUAAAUGUGCAUAUUUUAAUUCAAGCGCUGGUAAAAUGACCUAAAAUUUAUACACAAGGGUAUAAGCACACAUCUGCAUGGGAAAAGCUAUAAAUCUUUUAAGGCUACAUAUAAACACUUUUUUGUAAAAAGAAAAAAGAAAAGAUUUAAUUAGCCAGUAAUUGCAGGAGUGGUACUGAUGUCCUUUUGUAAACUUUUUUUGGUAAUAUUAUAUAUAUAUAUAUAUAUAUAUAUAUAUAUAUAUAUAUAUAUAUAUAUAUAUAUAUAUAUAUAUAUAUAUAUAUAUAUAUAUAUAUAUAAUAUAUAUGAAGAGCGCACUCACAGGACGAAUUUCAGGUAAAUAUAACUUCCUUUGUUGAAGCAGAUUCAGUGUCACAGCAAAAAGUUUGUUUCGGAGAUAUAUACACCCUGUUCCAAAUUAUUAUGCAAAUUAUAUUUUUCUCAUUUACCUAAAUAAUUGAUGUAAAUAACAGUCAGCAUAAUUCUAUCAAGAGUACAAUUCAAAUUUUAUUGAACAAACCUCCUAAUGAUAACAGUAUUUUUUUUUUUAAGCAUAAAAAACUUACAAUGCACUGUUCCAAAUUAUUAUGCACAGUAAGUUUAAAAAAACUUUAUAGGUUGUAAAGAACUGAAAAUUGUCAUUUGGAUUUCAGUCAAACUUAUAACAACAUUUUAACUUUUUAAACAUUUUAACAGGCCACGUUACAUUUUAACAUAGGACCCCUUAUUUGAUAGCAGCUUCACAAGUCUUGCAUCCAUUGAACAUGUGAGUUUUUGGACAGUUUCUGCUUGAAUUUGUUUGCAAGAUGUCAGAAUAGCCUCCCAGAGCUGCUGUUUGGAUGUAAACUGCCCCCCACCCUCAUAGAUCUUUUGCUUGAGGAUGCUCCAAAGGUUCUCAAUAGGAUUGAGGUCAGGGGAGGAUGGAGGCAACACCAUGACUUUCUCUCCUUUUAUCCCCAUAGCAGCCAUUGAUGCAGAGGUAUUCUUUGCAGCAUGAGAUGAUGCAUUGUCAUACAUGAAGAUGAUUUUAUUACCGAAAGCAUAGUUCUUCCUUUUGUACCAGGGAAGAAAGUGGUCAGUCAGAAACUCCACAUACUUUGCAGAGGUCAUCUUUACAUCUUCGGGGACCCUAAAGGGGCCGACCAGCUCUCUUCCCAUGAUUCUGGCCCAAAACAUGACUCCACCACCGCCUUGCUGACGUUGCAGCCUUGUUGGAACAGGGUGGCCGUCCACCAACCAUCCACUACUCCAUCCAUCUGGACCAUCCAGGGUUGCACGGCACUCAUCAGUGAACAGGACUGUUUAAAAAUUAGUCUUCAUGUAUUUUUCUGCCCGAUGCAACCAUUUCUGCUUGUGAGCAUUGAUUAGUGGUGGCCGUAUAGAAGGUUUAUGCACAGUUGCAAGACUCUGGAGGACUCUACACCUUGAUGUCCGUGGGACUCCAGAGGCACCAGCAGCUUCAAAUAUCUGUUUGCUGCUAUGUAAUGGUAUUUUAGCAGCUGCUCUCUUGAUCCGAUGAAUGGAUUUUGCAGAAAUCUUCCUCAAUGUGCCUUUAUCUGCACGAAUCCGUCUGCUCUGAAUCAGCCACAAAUCUCUUAAUAGUGCGAUGAUCACGCUUAAGUUUUCAUGAAAUAUCUAAUGUUUUCAUACCCCGUCCAAGGCAUUGAACUAUUUCACUCUUUUCGGUAGCAGAGAGAUCCCUUUUCUUCCCCAUAUUGCAUGAAAAUGGUGCUCUGCUUAAUAAUGUGGAACACCCUCCUUUAGUAGUUUUUCCUUAAAUUGGGCUCACCUGGCAAUCUAGUUAUCACAGGUGUCCGAGAUAGUUUUCAGUGAUCAAAAGAGCCCUGAGAUACAAUGCUAUCCAUGAGUUAAACUGAAAACAAAAUAUUUAAUCUUUGUGACACUUAAAUAGAAUUUGCAUAAUAAUUUGGAACUGUGUGUGUAUGUAUGUAUGUAUGUGUGUGUAUAUAUAUAUAUAUAUAUAUAUAUAUAUAUAUAUAUAUAUAUAUAUAUAUAUAUAUAUAUAUAUAUAUAUAUAUAUAUAUAUACACACACACACCCAACAAACUUGCACGCAAGGACUUAACAGUGCUAGUGCCCUGUGCAACAACUGGCAGACAACCCACUUUACCAAAAAACAGCACUCCAUGGACUUUGUAUCCAAAUACUGCAAAUUAUUUAUUGGUCAAUGUUUCAUAUGGAUAUAGCAAAUUGUGUGGGUGUUUUUUUUUUUUUGUUUUGUUUUUUUUUUGGUUAAAAUGUGUGUUUAUUUAUAGAAAGAUAUCUAUCUUAUUCCACCAUGGAGGGUACACUGUAGUAAAGGACUAUAAACUUUAAGGUAUAUAUACAUACAUACAGUGCCUUGCAAAAGUAUUCACCCCCUUGGCAUUUUUUGUGUUUUGUUGCCUCAUCUGGAAUGGAUUGUUUGAGGAUUUGCGUCAUCUAAUUUACAGAACAUGUCCACAACUUUGAGGAUUUUUUUUUUUUUUUUAUUGUGAAGCAAACAACAAAUAGGACAAAAUAACAGAAAACGUCAAUGUGCAUAACUAUUCACCCCCCUAAAGUCAAUACUUUGUAGAGCCAACUUUUGUGGAAAUCACAGCUGAGCUUGCCACAUCUUACCACUGGGAUUUUUGCCCAUUCCUCCUUGCAAAACUGCUCCAGCUCCUUCAAGUUGGAUGGUAUGUGCUUGUGAAUAGCAAUCUUUAAGUCUGACCACAGAUUUUCUAUUGGAUUGAGGUCUAAGAUUUGACUAGGCCAUUCCAACACAUUCACAUGUUUCCCCUUAAACCACUCAAGUGUUGCUUUAGCAGUAUGUUUGGCGUCAUUGUCCUGCUGGAAGGUGAACCUCAGUCCUAGCCUCAAAUCACGCACAGAGUGGUACAGGUUUUGCUCAAGAAUAUCCCUGUAUUUAGCACCAUCCAUCUUUCCCUCAACUCUGACCUGUUUCCCAGUCCCGGCUGCUGAAAAACAUCCCCACAGCAUGAUGCUGCCACCAUCAUGUUUCACUGUGGGGAUGAUGUUCUUUGGGUGAUGUGUUUGGGUGAUGUGGGUUUGCGCCAGACAUAGCGUUUUCUUUGGCCGAAAAGCUCAAUUUUAGUCUCAUCAGACCAGAGCACCUUCCUCCAUACAUUUUGGGAGUCUCCCACAUGCCUUUUCUUAAACUCAAAACAUGCCAGUUUGUUUUUUGCUGAAAGUAAUGUCUUUCUUCUGGCCAUUCUGCCAUAAAGCCCAACUCUAUGGAGCGUACAGCUUAUUGUUGUCCUAUGUACAGAUACUCCAGUCUCUGCUGUGGAACUCUGCAGCUCCUCCAGGGUUACCUAAGGUCUCUGUGCUGCCUCUCUGAUUAAUGCCCUCCUUGCCCGAUCUGUGAGUUUUGGUGGGCAGCUGUUUCUUGGCAGGUUUGCUGUUGUGCCAUGCUCUUUCCAUUUGGUUAUGAUAGAUUUGAUGGUGCUCCUGGGGAUCAUCAAAGAUUUGGAUAUUUUUUAAAUAACCUAACCCUGUACUUCUCAACAAAAUUGUCCCUUCCUUGUUUGGAGAGUUCCUUGGUCUUCAUGGCAGUGUUUGGUUAGUGGUGCUUAGGUGUUGCAGCCUCUGGGGCCUUUCAAAAAAGGUUUGUAUAGGUAAUGACAGAUCAUGUGACACUUAGAUUGCACACAGGUGGACAUCAUUUCACUAAUUGUGUGACUUCUGAAGGUAAUUGUUUGUACCAGAGCUUUUUAUGGGCUUCAUAACAAAGGGGUGAAUACAUACACACAUGCCAAUUUUCUGUUUUCUAUUCCUAAAAAAUAGUUUUAUGUUUAUAUUUUUCUCAUUUCACUUCACCAACUUCUACUAUUGUGUUCUGAUCCAUCACAUAAAAUUCAGAUUAAUAAAACAUUGAACUUAAGGCUGUAAUGUAACAAAAUAGGUAAAAAGUCAAGGGGGGGGUGAAUAUAUAUAUAUAUAUAUAGUUAAGAGUGUGUGUGAUAUGUUAUACACGUUAGAAGGGGGCAGGUGUGGGAGAACUAUAAGGUGAGUCUAGCUGCAGUAUUCAUUGUAGGAUAUAAUGACCGUAAGUGACCGUAUUUUGUGAUUGACUGGAUGUUACAAAUGAAUGAGAGGUUGGAAUCGAAGAGAGUGCCAAGGGUUGAUAGUAGUGUAGGGAAACCUACAUGGUGGUUCUAGUGGUUCACUAAACCCCUUAAGGACCGCGGAAGUAUGAGGUACGUCCGCCAAAAAACGGUCCUUAAGGAAUAUAUAUAUAUAUAUAUAUAUAUAUAUAUAUAUAUAUGUACACACACCAUAUUUUUCGCUCUAUAAGAUGCACUUUUUUCCCCCUCAAAAGUAAGGGGAAAUGUCUGUGCGUCUUAUAGAGCGAAUGUGAAGGUUUACUUACGUGUAUUGUGGCGUGGGCAGGCAGAACAGUGCACACGUCCUUUCAGUCCGGCCGGAAACUGAAAUUUAAGUUCCUGUACCGCGGUGCGCGCUGUUCUGCUGGCCCACGCUACAAUAUAGGUAAGUAACUAAGGAACAUUAUGGGACAAGGGGAGGGGGGACACUAUGGGAGGGAAAGAUCACUAUGGGACAAGGGGGGGGAGGAACACUAUGGGACAAGGGGGGUUAAAGAACACUAUAGGACAGGGGAGGGGGGUUAAAGAUCAUUAUGGGACAGGAUAGGGGAGUGGGUGGUAAAGAACACUAUGGGACAGGGGAGGGGGGGUGUUAAGAAACACUAUGGGACAGUUUGUUGAGAAUAUUUUUUUUUUCUGGGUUUCCUCCUCUAAAAACUAGGUGCGUCUUUUGGUGUGGUGCGUCUCAUGGAACGAAAAAUACGGUAAUUAUAAAAAUAAAAUAAUUAAUUAAAAAUAAAUAAAAAACUGUAAAAAUUAUUUUUCAAAAAUAUUUUAUAUAUAAUUUUAUUCUAACUGUAUUUUGAUAUUAAUAUAUAUAUUUCUAAAUAUCAAUAUACGCUUAGAAUGAAAAUAUAUAUAUAUAUAUUAUCUCUAUGUAUAUCCCCUUAACGACCGUGGACGUACUAUGUACGUCCAACAAAAAACGGUUGUUAAGAACCUAGUACGUCUGAUAGGACUGGACUUACCUGGACCGGCGAUCCAAGAUAAUCACGGUCGGGGGGACGACUGCUGGAGACCCCAAGCAGUCCCCCUGCAGCAGCUCUGGCCACCCCGGCCCUCCAAGGCCAUAUGAUUACCAUGAUUACCAUGAUCACUUUGACGCAAUAGAACUUUAGGAGCUGCCAGCAGGGGGGACUGGCUGAGCUGUCAGGCAGUCCCCCAGGCUGCUAAAAAAAAAAAAAAAAAAAAGAAUAAUAAUAAAAAAUAUAUAUAUAAUUCGUAUCUUGUCUUGAAAUGCUUCAGACUUGAGAAAGGGAGGUUCUCCCGAAAGUUUGUCAUUAAAAAAUUCUGUUAGUACAAUAAAAAAGGUAUUACAAGAUACGGAUUUUAUCUGAUUUUUACAUCUACAUCACUGGACUAAUACGGCUACAAUCUCUACUUGAAUACUAUAUGUAUGUGUGUGUGUGUAUGUAUGUAUGUAUGUAUGUAUGUGUGUGUGUGUGUGUAUGUGUAUAUAUAUAUAUAUAUAUAUAUAUAUUGGGGGGGGGGGGAACGUUUGUGACUAAGUGGCUACUACAAAAGACUGGACAUAUCCCAUUUUGAAUACCCUGGGUUGUCUACUUUUGCGAAUGGUAUGUCAUGGUCUGGUUAAUUUUCAUUUCUGGGCUGCCAUACCAUCUCCAAGGCAACAUAGCCAAUCUGGCAAAUAGCACUGCAAAAAAAACGGUCCAAAGGCAACAAUGCUAUACGGUCUCAAAGGCAACAUAGGCCCAGCAAACCAAUCUGGCAAAUUUCAAUGUGCAAACAUGGAAAAGGGGAAGGUCCUACAUUUGACCCCUGUAAUUUAGCAAAAACCCAUAAAACCUGUACAUUGGGGGUUGUACUCGGAAGAUGCUGCUAAACACAUAUUGGGGUGUUCUUUGUCAGUAACACAUAAGAGGAACUGAGAAUCCAUGCCUAAAGUAAAAUGUGAGAGAAAAAGAACACAAAAAAACGACUACCCAAAAGUUUGACAAAGACUGGUGGUAAAAUUAGUGCAUGAAAAGUGCUAAAAUACCACCAUUUCAAAUACUCUAGUGUGUCUACCUUUCAAAAAUAUAUGGUUUGAUGGGGGUAAAUUACAUUGGCCGGCUUCAAAAAUGUCCCAAACAGGACAUGGGUGCAUGAUGACCAGCUGUGAAAAUUCCAAGUUGGAAAACUGGAAUGCGCACCCUCCAAAUAAGGUCUUUAAGCCCCCAGAGAACCUGACACAUCUGUACAUGGGGGGGGUAUCACUUUACUCAGGAGAUGUUGCUGAACACAUAUUGGGGUGUUCUUUGGCAGUAACCCUUAAGGACUGGAGUUAAGUUGCAUGCUAAAAUGGUGCAGGAAAGACACCAGAGGAGAGGGAGAGCAACAGAAAGGCAAAUGUUUAAAUAAAAUUCAAUCAAGGAAUAGGUGAUGGAGCAUGAGGACAGAAGCAAAUUAGAAACAUUUCCUGUGUAAUGGUUAUCAGUAAGCUUAGGUUUGAGGAGGCGAUGGGACAGGGAGAGUGUGAAUGGGGGAAGGAGAAAGUGUUGAGAGCUCUUUCCUGAUUGCGGCUUGGGCACACAGAAGAUUGCUGCAAAGUUUGAAGCAGUGAGGUUAAUAGGAAGGGGGUGGUGAUGAGGCAAUGCUGUGUGUUUUAAAGGACCACUCUAGGCACCCAGACCACUUCAGCUUAAUGAAGUGGUCUGGGUGCCAGGUCCAGCUAGGGUUAACCCAUUUUUUCAUAAACAUAGCAGUUUCAGAGAAACUGCUAUGUUUAUGAAUGGGUUAAGCCUUCCCCCUAAUCCUCUAGUGGCUGUCUCAUUGACAGCCACUAGAGGCGCUUGCGUGCUUCUCACUGUGAUUUUCACAGUGAGAGCACGCCAGCGUCCAUAGGAAAGCAUUAUGUAAAUGCUUUCCUAUGCUGAACUGAGCUCUUGUGAGAUUCAGCGGCAGGCAGCGGAAGGAGGAGGAGCUCCUACGCUGGAAAAAGGUGCGUUUUUUUUUCCCCCUUUCCCCCUUCCAGAGCCGGGCGGGAGGGGGUCCCUGAGGGUGGGGGCACCCUCAGGGCACUAUAGUGCCAGUAAAACGAGUAUGUUUUCCUGGCACUAUAGUGGUCCUUUAAAAAUGCCACACUGUGCAGCACUGAGAUAGGAAGCACUUCUAGUUGUCUGAAAUGGCAGUGUUUACAUUGGAAAACCUGCAGGGACAGGCUACAUUAAGCUAUAAUGUCCCUUUUAAACUUUUGAUGGUUUAUUCAUUGGGUAUAAGAAUGACAGCAGACUUUCUGCUUUUAAUGUCUGUAGAAGUUUGUAUUCGUAAUUUCUUUUCUGUCUUGUCUUUCUAGGUGAUUAUUUGUAUUCCCUGUAUUCCCUGUUCUGAAAAGGUUGGUUCCCUCAAUUUUGAAUUGGAGCAGUCAGAAAAAUGAGGCUGAAGUUAUCGUUACUAAAAGAAGCAAAACAUAUCCUUUAAUUGGUGAAAAACAAAUUUACGUAGGAAUAUGAAACUUUAGUUAGAUACUCUGCCAAACAUAGUGUCCAAACUAAUCAAUUUUAGAAAAAAAAUAAUCCAAUGAGAUCCGUUAAAGGACAAAUGUCACAGAUGCUC